rnacentral:tRNA from 1 species
GCUGUGGUGCCGGAGUCCGGUCAAUCGGGACUGUCUGUAGAACAGUUGCUAUACUAGCUACGAAGGUUCAAAUCCUUCCCACAGCA